rnacentral:rRNA from 1 species
AACGUAGGGGGCAAGCGUUGUCCGGAAUCAUUGGGCGUAAAGCGCGCGUAGGCGGCCCGGUAAGUCCGUUGUGAAAGUCAAAGGCUCAACCUUUGAACGCCGAUGGAUACUGCCGGGCUAGAGUCCGGAAGAGGCGAGUGGAAUUCCUGGUGUAGCGGUGGAAUGCGCAGAUAUCAGGAGGAACACCAAUAGCGAAGGCAGCUCGCUGGGACGGUACUGACGCUGAGGCGCGAAAGCGUGGGGAGCGAACAGG